rnacentral:tRNA from 1 species
UCCCGGUUGGUCUAGUAGUUAUGACUCAGCACUUUCACCGCUGUGGCCCAGGUUCAAUCCCUGAUCUGGAA